AACUAAGCGAGCUACUCUAAAACAGCCCACAGAGCUAACUCAUCCCUGUUACAAAAGAGUGAGAAGAUUUUAAAGUAGAGGUGACACACCUAUCGAGCUUAGAAAUAGCUGGUUAUUCAAAAAAAUGGAUUUAAGUCCAACUUUAAGUUUUAUCAGUCUCACUAAACAAUCAAUAAACUUAAAAGCCACUCAAAUAAGGUACAGCCUAUUUGAAAAAGAAAACAAUCUAUAAUAUAGGGUAAUGUAUAUUAACAUGUCAAAGUAGGCCUAAAAGCAGCCAUCUUUUAAAAAGCGUCCAAGCUUACCCUCAUCCUUUUCUUAAUCCCACUAUUAACCCACAACCCUCAACCUAUACUGAAUGACCCCAUACUUGUAUGGAAGACAUCAUGCUAGAACUAGUAACAAGAAGAUGAACUUCUCCAUAAUGUGAAUGUAAGCCAAAAUAAACAUCUUGCCGGCACUUCCCGCUACAACCUAUAGUACACUUCCACAAGAAAGCUCUACUAACUCUAGCGCUAGCCUUACACCAGAACAUUACUGGAAAGA
rnacentral:rRNA from 1 species